AGAGUUUGAUCCUGGCUCAGAAUGAACGCUGGCGGCGUGCCUAACACAUGCAAGUCGAAUGUGCCGCAAGGUGCAUGGCAGACGGGUGAGUAACGCGUGGGCAAUCUACCUUUUCGUGGGGAAUAACGAUCCGAAAGGAUUGGUAAUACCGCAUGAGACCGAUGGCUGGGAUGCUGUCGGUGAAACCUGGGGACCGCAAGGCCUGGGGCGAGAAGAGGAGCCUGCGUCUGAUUAGUUAGUUGGCGGGGUAACGGCCCACCAAGGCUUCGAUCAGUAGCCGGCCUGAGAGGGUGAUCGGCCACACUGGAACUGAGACACGGUCCAGACUCCUACGGGAGGCAGCAGUGGGGAAUUUUGCGCAAUGGACGAAAGUCUGACGCAGCAACGCCGCGUGGGUGAUGAAGGUCUUCGGAUUGUAAAACCCUGUCGUCGAGGACGAAGGUGGGGGCGUUAAUAGCGUCUCUGCUUGACGGUACUCGGAGAGGAAGCCCCGGCUAACUCUGUGCCAGCAGCCGCGAUAAUACAGAGGGGGCAAGCGUUAUUCGGAAUUAUUGGGCGUAAAGGGCGCGUAGGCGGUUUUGUAAGUCUGACGUGAAAUCCCCGGGCUCAACCUGGGAAUUGCGUUGGAGACUGCAAGGCUAGAAUCUGGCAGAGGGGGGUAGAAUUCCACGUGUAGCAGUGAAAUGCGUAGAGAUGUGGAGGAACACCGAUGGCGAAGGCAGCCCCCUGGGUCAAGAUUGACGCUCAUGCACGAAAGCGUGGGGAGCAAACAGGAUUAGAUACCCUGGUAGUCC
rnacentral:rRNA from 1 species